UUGAACGCUGGCGGCAGGCCUAACGCAUGCAAGUCGAGCGGUAGAGAGAAGCUUGCUUCUCUUGAGAGCGGCGGACGGGUGAGUAAUGCCUAGGAAUCUGCCUGGUAGUGGGGGAUAACGUUCGGAAACGGACGCUAAUACCGCAUACGUCCUACGGGAGAAAGCAGGGGACCUUCGGGCCUUGCGCUAUCAGAUGAGCCUAGGUCGGAUUAGCUAGUUGGUGGGGUAAUGGCUCACCAAGGCGACGAUCCGUAACUGGUCUGAGAGGAUGAUCAGUCACACUGGAACUGAGACACGGUCCAGACUCCUACGGGAGGCGGCAGUGGGGAAUAUUGGACAAUGGGCGAAAGCCUGAUCCAGCCAUGCCGCGUGUGUGAAGAAGGUCUUCGGAUUGUAAAGCACUUUAAGUUGGGAGGAAGGGUUGUAGAUUAAUACUCUGCAAUUUUGACGUUACCGACAGAAUAAGCACCGGCUAA
rnacentral:rRNA from 1 species